rnacentral:tRNA from 3 species
GGCCUCAUGGCGGAAUUGGUAGACGCAAAGGACUUAAAAUCCUUUGGGAUUUAUUCCCGUCCCGGUUCGAGUCCGGGUGAGGCCACCA